rnacentral:rRNA from 1 species
ACGACCAGGGCUACACACGUGCUACAAUGGCGCAUACAAAGAGAAGCGACCUCGCGAGAGCAAGCGGACCUCAUAAAGUGCGUCGUAGUCCGGAUUGGAGUCUGCAACUCGACUCCAUGAAGUCGGAAUCGCUAGUAAUCGUGGAUCAGAAUGCCACGGUGAAUACGUUCCCGGGCCUUGUACACACCGCCCGUCACACCAUGGGAGUGGGUUGCAAAAGAAGUAUGUAGCUUAACCUUCGGGAGGGCGCUUACCACUUUGUGAUUCAUGACUGGGUGAA